ACAUUUGAAUCUGUGUAGCUGUUUUGGACAGUUUUGUAUUUGUGAAACAUCAUUAAUAUGAAAUGACGUGAUAUGGAUAAUGAAAUAGAAGAACUGGAUAAUUAAUUGUACGACCACUUUGGACGAACUCCAUCGACACUAGCAGUACUUCCGCAUAACAACGGAAGAGCCAGGCGUGGUCACAAUGCGCUUGGGAGUCGGAUGUCUGGAGGUCAAGGUUACUAUGGCUAUGGAUGGCGUCCAUAUUCCAUACCAACGACAGCAGAUUGUAGAAGCUAAAAGAUUCAGCCGAAACAGACAAGAGUACUUGUACAAUUUAAGUUGUCAGGCCAUAUCUCAGCGAUGCUAACAAGGAUGCUCCUUGCCCUUGUCCAGAAACACAACUAUAGUUAUGUUGACGCAUCUAUCGCAUCUAUGGCAUCUACGGCGAAAGAUUACACACAUUAUAAUGUCAAUAUUUACAGGGGAAUGACACAUAAUUUCAAAAUUUUUCUUCAGUACUUUUUGAAUAUGCUUAAAUGUCUGUUUGAAUAAAUUGGUUUAUUUAUAACACAUUUCUAUAACACUUUUUCAUAUAAAAUGAAAUAUGUGUAUUCACUUUUGCUUGUUUCUAUAGAAUUCAUGUCAUACGAAGAAUUCUACAUAUAAUAAAAGCUGCAUGAUAAAUAAAUUGUGAACAUGCUAAGAAUAAUUAUAUAAAAAAAUAGAUAAGUGUGAAAAGUAGAUAUUAUUAAAGAUUACUCAACUCUUAAUUUUUAGGAAAAGCACUUUUAGGAAAUUAAAAUCUAACAUUUAAACACAAUGAAAUUAUUUGUAUUAUUAUUAUUGGAUAUUGUUGGUCUAUUUAUUGAUGGUGUAAUUGAUAGUGUUUGUUUUGAACGUGAUGUGCGUAUUCCUAUGAAAACCUUAAUGAUAUGUUGUGGAAAUAUGUGAGAUUGGUUUAGAAAAAUGAUUUAAACUGUAUGGUUUGCUGGUCGAUGUUAAUAUAAGUGGACUAUGUUGCUAAUCAACUCAUGUUAGAUUACAGUUUAAUGUUAAUCACAACUAUUUUUAGAACAAAUAG